ensembl:processed_transcript Gm6556 predicted gene 6556
AGUGCACUCAUCUCUCUCUCCCCAUCCAGGGGAAUGGAUCAGUACGGUCACCUUCUAUGCUGCACAAGAGCCUUCAGACAUACUGUGAUUGCCAAGUGCCAGUCUCAUCUCCUCAAGUUCCCAGAGAGCGCACAGAGAGACUAGUUGUGUGCCAAGGGAGUUUGGAGAAGUAUGGCAGUAAAAGUGGGAUCUGUCUGCAUGAGCAAGCACGGGCUGGACAUAGAUCCCCUUUCACCCCUACGUAUGUAGCAGAUGUGCAACUUGGCCUUGUUGCAAGUCCUCCAAUAACUGGAUCUGGGGCUGUUCCUGACUCUAUUGCCUCAAGGGGGGAGGGAGUGCCUAGGCUGGCAGUGACUUGAUGU